rnacentral:rRNA from 1 species
UACGAAGGGUGCAAACGUUGCUCGGAAUUAUUGGGCGUAAAGCGCACGUAGGCGGCUUAGCAAGUCGGAUGUGAAAUCCCUCGGCUCAACCAAGGAAGUGCAUCCGAAACUGCUGAGCUUGAGUACGAAAGAGGAUCGCGGAAUUCCCGGUGUAGAGGUGAAAUUCGUAGAUAUUCGCAAGAACACCAGUGGCGAAGGCGGCUCACUGGCCCAUAACUGACGCUGAGGCACGAAAGCGUGGGGAGCAAACAGG